GCUAGAUGAGGUAUAGACCCUCUCUGUCUCUCUGUAGAUAGCCCAGCUAGAUGAGGUAUUGACCCUCUCUGUCUCUCUGUAGAUCGCCCAGCUAGAUGAGGUAUUGACCCUCUCUGUCUCUCUGUAGAUAGCCCAGCUAGAUGAGGUAUUGACCCUCUCUGUCUCUCUGUAGAUCGCCCAGCUAGAUGAGGUAUAGACCCUCUCUGUCUCUCUGUAGAUCGCCCAGCUAGAUGAGGUAUAGACCCUCUCUGUCUCUCUGUAGAUAGCCCAGCUAGAUGAGGUAUAGACCCUCUCUGUCUCUCUGUAGAUAGCCCAG